rnacentral:lncRNA from 1 species
CCUCAACCUCACAAACACAUAAUAGCUCUUGGGAAAAAAAAAAAAGGUUUUUGUUUUUUUUUUUUUAAGGAAGAGCAGAAAACAUAAGAAUACAAGAAUUAGUACAGUUAGCACAAAAAAACAAAACAAAACAAAACAAAAAAAACGUGGAACUGAAAAUUAAUAUAAGCACUCAACAAAUUCAACCUCAGAGAAGCUUCACUGCCAAGUUCCUGUAGUUCUUGUGUUCUGUUUACUGUGGUUUGUUUUGUACCGUCCCAACACAGAUGUGGGAUUUCAAGAAAGAACACAACCUUUUUGUAGAACUAUAGGAAAUAAUAUGAUUAAUGCUGGUCGGUGCCUGUUUUCCAUCUUCCCUCCUGUAAAAGAAGCAGAGAUUUCUGUUCUUGCAGGGAUCAUCUGAGGUUACAAGAUUAUCUGAGAGACAGCUGAAACUUUUGAAAAAACCCUGCUGUUCAUUAUGGUUUCUCAGCUGGAUGUUGCUAACCCCACAGCUGAGCUGCUGGUGGAACAGAUCUGAUGGGGGUUCCCUCUAUCAUAAAAGUGCAUGUGUUAGUGUAAGCUUCCACCACGGUUUUGCCUAAGCAAGGUGAAUUUCUCCAUGAGCACACUGGGGGUGCUGACACAAGGUUCAGCUGCUGGAGUUGAGGAUUAUGUCUGAGUGAUGAGCAAUCAAACAAUUUUCAGCAUUUUCAUAUGAAGUGUGGUUGUUGGAAUCUGCUUUCGCAUUCUCUGAUAUGAACGAGGAAAUUUCAUUUGAGAGCUGUUGGGUUCUGGUUCUUUCUAGGAAGCUGCACUUGUUUCAUGUUGAGAAAAUCCAGAGAUUUCAUUAACAACACCAAGACUAAGGGUGCAGAGGAGAACUGAGAUUUCUGCAUGAGUUUUGACCUCUGCCCAUUCCUUUUUUGAUGGUAUACUCAGGUUUCACACAUCCAUGCUCUGAGAAAUGGUGCAGUAGGGCCAUUGAAGCCUGGGUGUCUGUGGACCAGCAUCUUCUCUGGUAUCUAAUAAGGCUUUUCCUACAGAUGAGACAGAGAGUGUGUUUACCUGAGAGUUUUGGAGAUUUCACUCCUGGACCAGUGCCUCCCUCCACCCACAGCAAGUCCUGCUGUAACCCACGGGGCCACCCAGCAAAAGAGAAAGAUGCGCUUCAAGGUACCCAGCACCUGAUUUCUUACCUUUUAAUAUGCGUUUAUAUAUCCUAUAUCUAAAGAUUGUGACGCGGGCACGCACAGCUUUUUGCAGAGAUGCGGCGUCAGUAAGACCAGUGGCAUCACUCUCCGCAGAGUGUUCUGCCCGAGCCUGGAGAGGCGGCCGGCGUCCCGCGGAGCCCCCGCAGCGUGCUGGGAGCCGAGCAGAGCGGAGCGCUCGGUGGCAGUGGCCGUGCCCGUCCGCUUGGAGUCACUGCAGCACAGCACCUGCCCGCGGCCGAGCCUGCUGCUGCGCGUCACCGACAGUUCCUUUCGAAUUCAUUAGGUGAUGUGCUUGAGUUGAAACAGGGCCGUGAAAGCUACGUUUUGGCAGACAGUUGAGGAAUAUCUGUUUUCUUGUGCACACUGAAAUAAAAGCAAAGUGUUAGCUCA